UUGUUUUUUUAAAUAACUUUUUAUUGAUAGAACGCAUGCCAGGGUAAUUUUUUACAGCAUUAUCCCUUGCAUUCACUUCUCUUCCGAUUUUUCCCCUCCCUCCCUCCACCCCCUCCCCCAGAUGACAAACAGUCCUUUACAUGUUGAAUGGGUUGCAGUAUAUCCUAGAUACAAUAUAUGUGUGCAGAACCGAACAGUUCUCUUGUUGCACAGGGAGAAUUGGAUUCAGAAGGUAGAAAUAACCCGGGAAGAAAAACAAAAAUGCAAGCAGUUUAUAUUCAUUUCCCAGUGCUCUUUCUCUGGGUGUAGCUGCUUCUGUCCAUCUUUGAUCAAUUAAAGCUCUCUUUAUCGAAGAGAUCCACUUCCAUCAGAAUACAUCCUCAAACAGUAUCGUUAUUGAGGUAUAUAAUGAUCUACUGGUUCUGCUCAUUUCACUCAGGAUCAGUUCAUGUAAGUCUCGCCAGUCCUCUCUGUAUUCAUCCCGCUGGUCAUUCCUUACAGAACAAUAAUAUUCCAUAACAUUCAUAUACCACAAUUUACUCAACCAUUCUCCAAUUGAUGGACAUCCUUUCAUUUUCCAGCUUCUAGCCACUACAAACGGGGCCGCCACAAACAUUUUGGCACAUACAGGUCCCUUUCCUUUCUUUAGUAUCUCUUUGGGGUAUAAGCCCAGUAGAAUCACUGCUGGAUCAAGGGGUAUGCACAGUUUCCAGCUGUGGUUUUAAAGUAAUGCUACUAUUGGGUUGUCAGCUGAUUCCUUUUUUUUUUUUUCUUUCCUUCUUCAGUCAUACAUGGUGUCCUAUUUCCUCAUGGAAUUUUUUUUUGUGAGUCUGUUAUCCAGUACUAUCACCCCUUUUCUCAACUCCUUCCUUCCAUUAGUGGGCUGGAGUUUGAGGGUGGGAUUAACGGAGACAAAGCCUGACCUCCGUAGAGCUCACUAUCUUCAGGGGAUUGUAAUAGCCAGAAUAGCUGGAAUAGCUCCCUGACCCAUCCUCUACCCAUCUGAGCUGUUUUGUUGGAUCCAUUUGUGAGCUAGAACUGAGGAUACAGAGGCUUCUGGGUAAACCUUUUGCUGACUUUCUUCUUUUUAUUUAUUUAUUUAUUAUUAAAUAUUCUCUUUUUUUUCUUUUAUUUUAUAAUAACUUUUUAUUGACAGAACUCAUGCCAGGGUAAUUUUUUUUACAACAUUAUCCCUUGCACUCACUUCUGUUCUGAUUUUUCCCCUCCCUCCCUCUACCCCCUUCCCUAGGUGGCAACCAGUCCUAUAUAUGUUAAAUAUGUCGCAGUAUAUCCUAGAUACAACAUAUGUGUGCAGAACCGAACAGUUCUCUUGUUGCACAGGAAGAAUUGGAUUCAGAAGGUAAAAAUAACCCGGGAAGAAAAACAAAAAUGCAAAUAGUUUACAUUCAUUUCCCAGUGUUCUUUCUUUGGGUGUAGCUGCUUCUGUCCAUCAUUUAUCAAUUGAAACUGAGUUAGGUCUCUUUGUCUAAGAAAUCCACUUCCAUCAGAAUACAUCCUCAUACAGGAUCGUUGUUGAAGUAUAUAAUGAUCUCCUGGUUCUGCUCAUUUCACUUAGCAUCAGUUCAUGUAAGUCUCUCCAAGCCUCUCUGUAUUGAUCCUGCUGGUCAUUUCUUACAGAACAAUAAUAUUCCAUAACAUUCAUAUACCACAAUUUACCCGGCCAUUCUCCAGUUGAUGGGCAUCCAUUCAAUUUCCAGUUUCUAGCCACUAUAAACAGGGCUGCCACAAACAUUUUGGCACAUACAGAUCCCUUUCCCUUCUUUAGUAUUUCUUUGGGAUAUAAGCCCAGAAGUAACACUGCUGGAUCAAAGGGUAGGCACAGUUUGAUAACUUUUUGGGCAUAAUUCCAGAUUGCUCUCCAGAAUGGUUGGAUUCGUUCACAACUCCACCAACAAUGCAUCAGUGUCCCAGUUUUCCCGCAUCCCCUCCAACAUUCAUCAUUUUUUCCUGUCAUCUUAGCCAAUCUGACAGGUGUGUAGUGGUAUCUCAGAGUUGUCUUAAUUUGCAUUUCUCUGAUCAAUAAUGAUUUGGAACACUCUUUCAUAUGAGUGGUAAUAGUUUCAAUUUCAUCCUCUGAAAAUUGUCUGUUCAUAUCCUUUGACCAUUUAUCAAUUGGAGAAUGGCUUGAUUUCUUAUAAAAUUGGGUCAGUUCUCUAUAUAUUUUGGA